rnacentral:lncRNA from 1 species
GGCACCUGUGGGCCACGACACCGCUGCCAAGGCCUCCCGCUCCCAGGCAAAGCUUUGGGAAGAACAGGGGACCCUGCCUCUCUGAAGCCCCGCUCUCGAGGAACUUAGCAGACCCGGACCCACCCCCAUGACUGGGACGUGCAGAGGGCUUCUCCAGGCACAGGCCUGGCUGGAGCCCCUGGAACAUCCCAAGUCCUGUGCCCCGCAACACAACCCCUCGCCUUUCCCACCCUCCUCCCUAACCCCUG